GGGAUGAACCAAACGACGGGUUAAGGGGCCCGAUGCAGGACGCUCAUGAGACCCCAUGAAAGGUGUUGGUUGCUAUAGACAGCAGGACGGUGGCCAUGGAAGUCGGAAUCCGCUAAGGAGUGUGUAACAACUCACCUGCCGAAGCAACUAGCCCUGAAAAUGGAUGGCGCUUCAGCGUCGACCCCAUACCCGUCCGCCGCGGCGGAGAUGCGAUCGCAUUAUGCCGCGGUGAGUAGGAGGGCGCGGGGGCGCGCGUGGAAGGUGCCGGGCGUAAGCCCGCCUGGAGCCGCCCCCGGUGCAGAUCUUGGUGGUAGUAGCAAAUACUCAAGUGAGAACCUUGAGGACUGAGGUGGAGAAGGGUUCCAUGUGAACAGCAGUUGAACAUGGGUCAGUCGGUCCUAAGGGAUGUCCGAAAGGAUUUCCGAAGGGGGACUUUAAGUUGUUUGGGUCCCGCCCAUGACCGAAAGGGAAUCGGGUUAAUAUUCCCGAACCCGGACACGGAGAUCGGUCCCCUCGGGGACACGUGCGGUAACGCAAACGACCUCGGAGACGUCGACGGGGGUCCCGGGAAGAGUUGUCUUUUCUUUGUAAGGGUUCGGCUCCCUGGAAUCGGCUCGCCCGGAGAUAGGGAUGCUGAACCCGUAAAGCACCGCGCCUCUUGCGGUGUCCGGAGCGCUCCCGUCGGCCCUUGAAAAUCCGAGCGAGAGUUGGUGAUUUUCGUGCCGGACCGUACCCAUAUCCGCAGCAGGUCUCCAA
rnacentral:rRNA from 1 species